GGGGGGGGGGGGGGGGGGGGGGGGGGGGGGGGGGGGGGGGGGGGGGGGGGGGGGGGGGGGGGGGGGGGGGGGGGGGGGGGGGGGGGGGGGGGCCCGGGCUCUCAGCCCCGUGUUCCGAUCCGCAGGUGCCAUGGGCCGGCAGCGCGCACCGCCCGAGCGCUGCUGGAAGCGGCCCCUGCGCGCCGGGGGCUGCUGGCUGCUGUGGCUCUGCGGGACGGCGCUGCGGGCGCUGCGGGGGCUCUGGAGCCUGACGUGGGUUCUGCUGCUGUGCUACAAAAGCUGCUGGGAUGGCGCCUUCCAGGUCACCGAGGAGCUGGGCACAGCCCUGCAGCUUCGGCUAGGGAGGAGUGAGGAGGAGGAGGAGGAGGAAGCAGACUCAGAUUCUGCAUGGCAGCCCGGACAGACAGGGCAGCGGCGUGGCGAUGCCAGCGAGGCCAUGCUGGGGAGGCUGGAGGCUCUGGAGGCCGAUGUUCGCUUCCUCUGCACCGAGCUGGGGGCUGAGAAGCUCCUGUGGAGCAGCCGGUUCCUGGAGCUGCUGCGGGAGCAGCAAAGCCUGCGCCAAAGGGACGCCAGUGGAUGGAGGCACCUCGGCAACCAUGUGGCUCCAUCCAGCCUGGUGGCAGAAAAAGCAAGUGAAGGUGUGAACAAGGCCUCAGCAGUUCAGGAAGGAUCCACACAUUCCUCCUGCCCAGGCCCUUCAGGACCCAGGCCAGGCUGCUGCUGUCCCAGCUGUAUCACUCCACCCCAGCCCAAUGCAGCAGAACUGCAGCCAUUUCCCAGGAGCAGGAACCAGCUGGAGGCAGGGGCUGGCUCUGAUGAAGCCCACAGAGGAGCAUCCCCCUGCUCUGCUGCUUGUCGGGACGUUCCAGGAACAAGGAGUCUGGUCAGCACUGGCUUCAUCAUCUUGCACUGGGGUGACAGAUUGCAAAACUCACCCACCGACUUCCUGACUGGCCACAUCCAUCCUCUCAUGAGCUGCUCCUGCACAUGUCGCAACCCUGGGCAGCUCCUUGAGACAGUGGCCAAGGGCAAGCAGCUCCCCAGGCAUGGCUGACAGCCCCUGGCAGGCCAGAACAGCUGGGGCUGGGAGCAGCAGCCCCACAGGGAGCUGAUCUGAGGGGUUGCCCCAUGCCCAGCCCUGGCCCAGCCCAGGGGCUGCACCCACUGUCAAUACAGGCAGCUGCUCUCCAUCUCUUGUGUCUGCCUGGUCUUUCCCAGCAGAGCUGGGACAGCCACACCCGGGCUCUUUGGGGCGGGGGGACAAGAUGAGCUCUUGCUGCAGCAGAGCAGGGACCGGGCUCCAGCAGCAGGCAGGAUGGGCAGGGAUCUGUUCUCCAAACAUGCCCAUGCAGCUCCCACGUGCAGGGAACUGAUGCAAUGGGAAUAGCAGCAGCCUGAGUCACCCUGCACCCACCCGGCCCCGGUGUGGUGGCGGUGGGACAGCCCCGUGCUGCUCAGAAAGAGCAAAGGAAACCAGGUCCUGCAAAGGAGCUGCUCUCAGGGCAGGAGUCCUGCUGCAGUGAAACCCCAGCCCCAUGCUGCACCCCCCCUUCCCUGCAGCAGCCACGGCAGCGUCCCUGCUGAGACCGUGGGAGCACCAGACAAUGAUGUCACAAGGUCCUGCUCCUGCUGUAGCCACCAUCCACCUCUCCGUGGCAAUCCUUGGGCUGGAAAUCCCCAGCCAGCCCACAGGGAAGUGGAGGGUGACAUCAAGCAGCAUUAGCUGCAGCCACCAGCUCUGCACCCCCCACUGGAGCAGCCCCUGACCACAACACCUGCAGCAAGGCAAGAGUCACCACACAGGCCACAGAAACUUUUCUCCAGCCACCACCCCAGCCAAAGCUCCUGACCUAUUGCUUAACCUGAGGCUGUAUUUACUCCCACAUGCUUGUGCAACACUGCUCCCCAGUCCUGGCCAGGAGCCUCAGUGGUUUUGUCAGAAGGGCUGAGCAAGCUGCUGCUGCCUCAGACAAGGCUUUGGCUUCCAGGGGCACCCCCUGACCUUCAGGAGCACUGGGGAAUUCAGGGCCCUUAGCAAAGUGUGUGAGGGAACUGAAAAGCAUCUGGCUGGAGGGCAAGUGCUGACAGCAUCUGCACAGGUAGCACCACCAUCACAACCCCAUCCCAUCCCAGCCUCCCCCUACUGCCCUGGGGCAGCACCCAGCUCCUCCCCAGCACCCUUCCAUUCUCUUGUACGUAACAGUGACUGCUUCCUGCAGCCCUGGCUCACAGGGAGGCUGUGCUGCAGCAGCAAUUUGGGAUACAGGGUGCAGAGCUGCUGCCAUGCUCGGUACAUCCACUCCUCUUCAUGGGGAGAGCAGCAGCCCAGCAGCCUCAGCACUGGGGGAACACGGGGUUGAUGCUGAAUCUGCUCCUCUGUAUAGCACCUACAUCACCACAUCCCAUCCCCUAUCCCACAGGAACCUUUCCCAUUCCUGCCUCUGAAAAUGCUUUAAAAUGUUAGAACGGAGCUAGCCACAUCCUGGAAACCCUCAGUGGGAGGAACCAGCUGAGCUCAAAUGGAAGUUCAGGGAGCAAGGGCAGCAGGACCAGGGAGAGGCAAGCCAGCCCUGGAGAGCAGCCUGGGCUGCUUGGAGGAACCAGCCUCUCCUCAAGCUCUGCACGAGGCUGCAGUGGCAUGCAGCUGACAGGAUGAGGGCUGGGAAGCCCCUGAGCACAGGAAACCUCCAACAGGCCCAUGUGUGACCUCCUUCCCCCCAACAGCACAGUGAGCUGAGACACAGAUCUGACCCAGUUUGGCUCAGCCAGGAACACAAAGCAAACACCCAGCAGUCAUAGCAGGCUCUACCCCCAAGCCCCAGGAAGUUCUGAGUCAAGUGAUGCACCCCAAAAACCUCACCUUAACAGCCUCAGCAGGGUUGCCAAGGUGUGCAGGCAGGCAGCCCCACCACUCCUGGCACUGACGAGUGUGUAGGGCAGAAACAUGCAGCAGGGACAGUUCCAAUCAGCAUUUCCAUUUCCCAAAUCUCUGGUACCACACAGAACUUAGUGUGAAUGAAGGAGAAAAUUCAGAGCACAGCAGUGGGAUUGUGGCUGGGCUUGCUGGCUGCCCCAGCAGCACACAUGGCAGUUUGGGGGAGUAACUUUAACUAGAUCUGUGCUAGGGCCUGACCCUCCCACACCACUCCCUGAGCCCCCAGGACUGUCACUGCAAGAGAAACAUCACAACCAAAGUCAGUCUGCUCCAGCCCUUCCUCUCCUGGUGGUGGCAAUGAGCCUCUGCACUUCUGCACUGAUUCCUUUAAUUGUGUCCCACUGCAGCUUUGAGAGAUGCAAAAACAAACAUUUACCCCCUCUACGCAACCUGUAAAAUUAGUUACCUGUUGUCUUUUACAGCAACACCUGUAAAAUCCUGCAGCAUUUUUCAACUGCAGAUCCCAUUACAGACAGCAGCAAACUGCUCACGUGGUUAAAGGUGUGCUCAGAUCCCUGACACACCACUCCAUCCCCUCCCACCACACACACACACAGCCACAUGAGCUCUGUCACUGCAGUGACGUCCUCAGAGGCUUCCUCUCCCACAGUCAAUAAAGACUUCAGACUGUGAGAUUGCAGGUUUGUUUUGAAAUGCAGCUGGUCUCUGGGAGCACUUGCUUCCCUGGUUUCUGAUUAACUAGAGUCAUUGCCCUGUGGUAAAUGAAGAGCACAAGUUUCAAUACAGACCAUAAAAUUAUUUAACCAGCGAGAUAAGAACAUGCUGUGCUGCAGUGGAACAGAUGGGAG
rnacentral:lncRNA from 1 species